rnacentral:rRNA from 1 species
GAUGAACGCUGGCGGCGUGCUUAACACAUGCAAGUCGAACGAAGCACUUUAUUUGAUUUCCUUCGGGACUGAUUAUUUUGUGACUAAGUGGCGGACGGGUGAGUAACGCGUGGGUAACCUGCCUUGUACAGGGGGAUAACAGUUGGAAACGGCUGCUAAUACCGCAUAAGCGCACAGCAUCGCAUGAUGCAGUGUGAAAAACUCCGGUGGUAUAAGAUGGACCCGCGUUGGAUUAGCUAGUUGGUGAGGUAACGGCCCACCAAGGCGACGAUCCAUAGCCGACCUGAGAGGGUGACCGGCCACAUUGGGACUGAGACACGGCCCAAACUCCUACGGGAGGCGGCAGUGGGGAAUAUUGCACAAUGGGCGAAAGCCUGAUGCAGCGACGCCGCGUGAGCGAAGAAGUAUUUCGGUAUGUAAAGCUCUAUCAGCAGGGAAGAUAAUGACGGUACCUGACUAAGAAGCACCGGCUAAAUACGUG